rnacentral:hammerhead_ribozyme from 1 species
AUCAAGCUGACGAGUCACAAAUAGGACGAAACGCGAGUCAUACUGGAU